rnacentral:rRNA from 1 species
UCCAAUAGCGUAUAUUAAAGUUGUUGCAGUUAAAAAGCUCGUAGUUGGAUCUCGGGUCCAGGCUGGCGGUCCACCUCGCGGUGGUUACUGCCUGUCCUGACCUACCUCCCGGUUCUCUCUUGGUGCUCUUGACUGAGUGUCUCGAGUGGCCGGAACGUUUACUUUGAAAAAAUUAGAGUGUUCAAAGCAGGCAAUUCGCCUGAAUAAUGGUGCAUGGAAUAAUGGAAUAGGACCUCGGUUCUAUUUUGUUGGUUUUCGGAACUCGAGGUAAUGAUUAAGAGGGACAGACGGGGACAUUCGUAUUACGGUGUUAGAGGUGAAAUUCUUGGAUCGCUGUAAGACGAACUACUGCGAAAGCAUUUGUCAAGAAUGUUUUCAUUAAUCAAGAACGAAAGUUAGAGGUUCGAAGACGAUCAGAUACCGUCCUAGUUCUGACCAUAAACGAUGCCAACUAGCGAUUCGCCGGCGUUGUUCAAGUGACCCGGCGGGCAGCUUCCGGGAAACCAAAGCUUUUGGGUUCCGGGGGAAGUAUGGUUGCAAAGCUGAAACUUAAAGGAAUUGACGGAAG